UUUUUCACAACCCCGAAUUUCACUUCCUUGUGAAGAGGCAAGGAUAAAAUCGUUAGACGAGAAGACCCUGUCGAGCUUAUAGCAAAAGUUUACCCUCUACCAUAUUUAAGCUGCCCUAAUUUUUGAUGAUAGGCAAAAUAAAUUUUGGGGGACUAACCAAAGCUUUGGUUGGGGCAACCGCGGAGCAGGAAAAACCUCCGCUAAUACAAUAAACAAUUAAAGUAAGAACAACAAUUCUAAAAUCAAAAAUGAAAGAGUGAUCCACUUAGGUGACCAAAGGAACAAGUUACCGCA
rnacentral:rRNA from 1 species